UACGGGGGGGGCAAGCGUUGUUCGGAAUUACUGGGCGUAAAGCGUGCGCAGGCGGUUUUGUAAGUCUGUCGUGAAAUCCCCGGGCUCAACCUGGGAAUGGCGAUGGAGACUGCAAGGCUAGAGUUUGGCAGAGGGGGGUAGAAUUCCACGUGUAGCAGUGAAAUGCGUAGAUAUGUGGAGGAACACCGAUGGCGAAGGCAGCCCCCUGGGUCAAGACUGACGCUCAUGCACGAAAGCGUGGGGAGCAAACAGG
rnacentral:rRNA from 1 species